rnacentral:tRNA from 1 species
GCCAUUGUGGUGGAAUGGUAGACACAUUAGAUUUAAAAUCUAACGGCAGAGUUGCUAUAUGAGUUCAAGUCUCAUCAAUGGUA